rnacentral:rRNA from 1 species
GGCCUCCGCCGGCGACACCCCUUUCAAAUUCCCCUUCCCAACUUUCGAUGGUCGUGAUAUCCUACCAUGGUUGUAACGGGUAAGGGGAAUCGGGUUCGAUUGGGGGGGCAUGAAACGGCCCCACCAAGGAAGGCGCAGGCCCCAAUCCCCUCCUGGCACGGGGAGGUAGUGACGAAAAUAACAAUACGGGACUCUUUUUGGGGAAAUUUGGGAAUAAAACCAAACCCUUUAAGAGGAUCUAUUGGAGGGCAAGCCCUUGCCAAACCCGUUUCAACCCCAAUAGCUUAAAAUUAAGUUGUUCAGUUAAACUCGUAGUUGGAUCUCGGGUGGGUUUGCGGUCAAACGCCUGUCGGUUACUGUCCCCUGACCACCCCCCUUUUUCCCCUUGGUCCUUACUAAAAUUCUCAGGGGGCCCGGAACUUUACUUUGAAAAAUUAGGUUUAAAAGCAGGCAAUAUCCCCUGAAAAAUGGUGCAGGGAAUAAUGGAAUAGGACCUCGGUUCUAUUUUCCCGGGUUUUUCCCGGGGAAUGUUAAAGAAGGGACGGGGGGGGCAUUCUGUUACGGUUUUGGGGUGAAAUUCUUGGAUGGGUAAAGAACUACUGGGCUUUGCCAACUUUUUUUACCCAAGAACAAAGUCAGAGUUCAAGACGAUCAGAUACCUCGUAGUUCUGACCAUAAACGAUGAACCAUCCCCGGGUUGCCAAUGACCCCAGGCGCCCAAAACCCAAAUUUUUUGGGUUUCCCGGGGAAUUGGACCAACUGAAAUUUAAAGGAAUUGAGGGAAAGGGGCACCAGGGGUGGGCCUCCCUUUUUUAUCCGGGGAAAAACUCACCCCGGACCUGAAGUUGGAUUAAAAUUUUCUUGAUUCGGUGGGUGGUGGUGCUGGCCGUUCUUAUUUGGGUGGACGUUUGUCGGGUUAAUUCCGUAACGAACGGACUCUAGCCUCUAAAUAUUUCCCCGGAUCCCCUUUUGCUCGGCGCAACUUUUAGGGGGACAAGUGGCUUUUACCCAAAAUUAAAAACGGGUCUUGAUGCCCUUAGUGUUGGCCGCGCCCACUAAAGGGAAUCAGCGUUUCUGCCCUUGCCUAAAAAGGUCGGCCCUGAACCUCCUUCUGCUAGGUUGGGGCUUUAAUUCCCCCAUGCAAAAGGAAUUCCCAGUAAGCGCGGUCAAAGCUCGCGUUGAUUACGUCCCUCCCCUUUUACACCGCCCGUCGCUACUACCGUUGGGCGUUUUGAAAAACCCUGGUUGGGGAAAGGGUUUUGGGCACCAACCUCCGGUGUGCCAAAAAGACGCAAAAACGAACGCCUGGGGGUAAAGUCCAAGGUUUUCCGGGGGGUAAACC